GAUGAAGAACGUAGCGAAAUGCGAUACGUAAUGUGAAUUGCAGAAUUCAGUGAAUCAUCGAAUCUUUGAACGCAUAUUGCGCUCUUUGGUAUUCCGAAGAGCAUGCUUGUUUGAGUAUCAGUAAACACCUCAAAGCUUUUGGAUUUUUUAAUCGAAAAGCUUUGGACUUGAGCAAUCCCAACACCAAUCUUUUUGAGAUCGGUGGCGGGUUGCUUGAAAUGCAGGUGCAGCUGGACAUUCUCCUGAGCUAAAAGCAUAUUCAUUUAGUCCCGUCAAACGGAUUAUUACUUUUGCUGCAGCUAACAUAAAGGGAGUUUGACCGUAUUGGCUGACUGAUGCAGGAUUUCACAAGGGUCGGCAACGAUUCUUGUUAAACUCGAUCUCAAAUCAAGUAAGACUACCCGCUGAACUUAAGCAUAUCAAUAGCGGAGGA
rnacentral:misc_RNA from 1 species